rnacentral:rRNA from 1 species
ACGCUGGCGGCAGGCUUACACAUGCAAGUCGAGCGGAGUGAUGGUGCUUGCACUAUCACUUAGCGGCGGACGGGUGAGUAAUGCUUAGGAAUCUGCCUAUUAGUGGGGGACAACAUCUCGAAAGGGAUGCUAAUACCGCAUACGUCCUACGGGAGAAAGCAGGGGAUCACUUGUGACCUUGCGCUAAUAGAUGAGCCUAAGUCGGAUUAGCUAGUUGGUGGGGUAAAGGCCUACCAAGGCGACGAUCUGUAGCGGGUCUGAGAGGAUGAUCCGCCACACUGGGACUGAGACACGGCCCAGACUCCUACGGGAGGCAGCAGUGGGGAAUAUUGGACAAUGGGGGGAACCCUGAUCCAGCCAUGCCGCGUGUGUGAAGAAGGCCUUAUGGUUGUAAAGCACUUUAAGCGAGGAGGAGGCUCUUUUGGUUAAUACCCAAGAUGAGUGGACGUUACUCGCAGAAUAAGCACCGGCUAACUCUGUGCCAGCAGCCGCGGUAAUACAGAGGGUGCAAGCGUUAAUCGGAUUUACUGGGCGUAAAGCGCGCGUAGGCGGCCAAUUAAGUCAAAUGUGAAAUCCCCGAGCUUAACUUGGGAAUUGCAUUCGAUACUGGUUGGCUAGAGUGUGGGAGAGGAUGGUAGAAUUCCAGGUGUAGCGGUGAAAUGCGUAGAGAUCUGGAGGAAUACCGAUGGCGAAGGCAGCCAUCUGGCCUAACACUGACGCUGAGGUGCGAAAGCAUGGGGAGCAAACAGGAUUAGAUACCCUGGUAGUCCAUGCCGUAAACGAUGUCUACUAGCCGUUGGGGCCUUUGAGGCUUUAGUGGCGCAGCUAACGCGAUAAGUAGACCGCCUGGGGAGUACGGUCGCAAGACUAAAACUCAAAUGAAUUGACGGGGGCCCGCACAAGCGGUGGAGCAUGUGGUUUAAUUCGAUGCAACGCGAAGAACCUUACCUGGGCCUUGACAUAGUAGAAACUUUCCAGAGAUGGAUUGGUGCC